rnacentral:rRNA from 1 species
GAGUUUGAUCGUGGCUCAGAUUGAGCGCUGGCGGCAUGCCUUACACAUGCAAGUCGAACAGCAGCAUGAUCCAGCUUGCUAGAUUGAUGGCGAGUGGCGAACGGUGAGUAAUACAUCGGAACGUGCCCUGUAGUGGGGGAUAACUAGUCGAAAGAUUAGCUAAUACCGCAUACGACCUGAGGGUGAAAGUGGGGACCGCAAGGCCUCAUGCUAUAGGAGCGGCGAUGUCUGAUUAGCUAGUUGGUGGGGUAAAGGCCCACCAAGGCGACGAUCAGUAGCUGGUCUGAGAGGACGAUCAGCCACACUGGGACUGAGACACGGCCCAGACUCCUACGGGAGGCAGCAGUGGGGAAUUUUGGACAAUGGGCGAAAAGCCUGAUCCAGCAAUGCCGCGUGUGUGAAGAA